AAUGAACGCUGGCGGCAUGCCUAACACAUGCAAGUCGAACGAAGCCUUCGGGCUUAGUGGCGCACGGGUGCGUAACGCGUGGGAAUCUGCCCUUGGGUUCGGAAUAACAGUUAGAAAUGACUGCUAAUACCGAAUGAUGUCGUAAGACCAAAGAUUUAUCGCCCAGGGAUGAGCCCGCGUAGGAUUAGCUAGUUGGUGUGGUAAAGGCGCACCAAGGCGACGAUCCUUAGCUGGUCUGAGAGGAUGAUCAGCCACACUGGGA
rnacentral:rRNA from 1 species